rnacentral:rRNA from 1 species
UACGUAGGGGGCUAGCGUUGUCCGGAAUCAUUGGGCGUAAAGCGCGUGUAGGCGGUCCGGUAAGUCCGCUGUGAAAGUCGGGGGCUCAACCCUCGGAUGCCGGUGGAUACUGUCGGGCUUGAGUACGGAAGAGGCGAGUGGAAUUCCUGGUGUAGCGGUGAAAUGCGCAGAUAUCGGGAGGAACACCAAUGGCGAAGGCAGCUCGCUGGGACGGUACUGACGCUGAGGCGCGAAAGCGUGGGAGCAACAGG